CAGAAUCCUAUGCCAAUCGAGAAAAACUCAUUAAUCCAGUUAACAAGCAUAACAACAGUUUUUCUUGUGGAAUCAAGUAGGCAGAACUCUGCUACACAUUGCCCAUUAGCCCAAUAUCCUAUGCCUUUUCCUGUUGAGAGCUUAUAAGUCUGCUUGGUAGAAUAUUUUCUUGAAUUAAUGUCAUAAUGAUCUGCUCCCUUCCCAUUAUACAACAGUGAAGAAAAUGGCCUUUGGACUAUUUCACAUGGUGUCUCUGAAUUCUGUGAGCACACACAGUAUUUCCUUAAUGGGUCUUUCAAGAAAAGAAAAAAACAACAAAACACAUCAAAGGCAAGAUACAGAGAGGAGAGGAGAAGAAAUUUGUCUCCUCACAAGUCAGCCACCCAGAUAUUCUGGGCAGCAGAGUAUGGCUGAGGAUGGUGCAUUUGUUGGAAGGGUGAUAUUUUUCAUGCCCUACAGGUACACAGGGGAUGGCUCUCCACUACUAUACAGAAAAGAUUCAUCAGAUUCAUCACUCAGUCGCAGUCCGAGAAGCUUUACUGAAUGGAGAUAUUCCCAGAAAUGAAGCAACCACAAAGUUGUUGACAUCAAUGAACUGACAGUAUGGAGACUAUCAAGAGACUGGUGACAGAAACUUUUGCACAGGCAUGAAAGGAACAUUCUCUUUCAAUCCUAAAGGGAGAUAAUGGGAAACAAUGACAGUGAAAGCUGCUUUAUCUCACCCACCUUCUUUACUGGUAAAUUUUUAAAACAAAAUAUAGAUUGUGCUGGAGGAAGGAUUUUCCAUGUAGGAACAGUUUGUAAUAUAAUUUUAUUUAUUUUAACUAUUAUAUCAAUAGCUUUACAGAAGGGUUAUUCAGUUACAGAGAUUAAUUUAUCAGCAAACAUCUGUUUCGAGGCAUUCACAACUUUCAUUGAACCAAAAGCUUCUUUUCUAUCAAAGUGAAAACUUUCACAGAAAAACAUGGCAAUGAAAAUUUUCAUGUUUUCAUGAAAAUAAAAGUGGCUUGUUUAUAUAAAAUUUGGCA
rnacentral:lncRNA from 1 species